AUUGAACGCUGGCGGCAGGCCUAACACAUGCAAGUCGAGCGGAAGCAGGGAGAUUGCUCCUGGUUUCCGCGGGGGAGGGGGGAGUAAUGGCUAGGUAUCUGAAAGGUACUGGUGGAUAGGGUGCGGAAAUGGGCACUAUUACCGCAAACGCCCAGAGGGCCAACGUGGGGGAUCUUCGGAUCUCGCGCUCUUACACUCGUCUAUGUCCGAUUAGCUAGUUGGUGGGGUAAAGGCCUACCAAGGCGACGAUCCGUAGCUGGUCUGAGAGGAUGAUCAGCCACACUGGAACUGAGACACGGUCCAGACUCCUACGGGAGGCAGCAGUGGGGAAUAUUGGACAAUGGGCGCAAGCCUGAUCCAGCCAUGCCGCGUGUGUGAAGAAGGCCUUCGGGUUGUAAAGCACUUUAAGUGGGGAGGAAGGGCAGUAAGUUAAUACCUUGCUGUUUUGACGUUACCAACAGAAUAAGCACCGGCUAACUUCGUG
rnacentral:rRNA from 1 species